rnacentral:rRNA from 1 species
UACGAAGGGGGCUAGCGUUGCUCGGAAUGACUGGGCGUAAAGGGCGCGUAGGCGGUUUGUACAGUCAGGUGUGAAAUUCCCGGGCUCAACCUGGGGGCGGCACUUGAGUCGUAGGAACUGGAGUGAGGAAGAGGGUCGUGGAAUUCCCAGUGUAGAGGUGAAAUUCGUAGAUAUUGGGAAGAACACCGGUGGCGAAGGCGGCGACCUGGUCCUUUUACUGACGCUGAGGCGCGAAAGCGUGGGGAGCAAACAGG